GUCGAGCGAACGGACGAGAAGCUUGCUUCUCUGAUGUUAGCGGCGGACGGGUGAGUAACACGUGGAUAACCUACCUAUAAGACUGGGAUAACUUCGGGAAACCGGAGCUAAUACCGGAUAAUAUUUUGAACCGCAUGGUUCAAAAGUAAAAGACGGUCUUGCUGUCACUUAUAGAUGGAUCCGCGCUGCAUUAGCUAGUUGGUAAGGUAACGGCUUACCAAGGCAACGAUGCAUAGCCGACCUGAGAGGGUGAUCGGCCACACUGGAACUGAGACACGGUCCAGACUCCUACGGGAGGCAGCAGUAGGGAAUCUUCCGCAAUGGGCGAAAGCCUGACGGAGCAACGCCGCGUGAGUGAUGAAGGUCUUCGGAUCGUAAAACUCUGUUAUUAGGGAAGAACAUAUGUGUAAGUAACUGUGCACAUCUUGACGGUACCUAAUCAGAAAGCCACGGCUAACUACGUGCCAGCAGCCGCGGUAAUACGUAGGUGGCAAGCGUUAUCCGGAAUUAUCGGGCGUAAAGCGCGCGUAGGCGGUUUUUUAAGUCUGAUGUGAAAGCCCACGGCUCAACCGUGGAGGGUCAUUGGAAACUGGAAAACUUGAGUGCAGAAGAGGAAAGUGGAAUUCCAUGUGUAGCGGUGAAAUGCGCAGAGAUAUGGAGGAACACCAGUGGUGAAGGCGACUUUCUGGUCUGUAACUGACGCUGAUGUGCGAAAGCGUGGGGAUCAAACAGGAUUA
rnacentral:rRNA from 1 species